UUAAUUUCAUAAGCAUUCACUCAUAUAAUGGCGGGGAUAUGGCCCGCGAGUCUCUACCGGAACACCGUAAAUGUUCCGACUAUGGGUGAGCAAUGGGAAAAU
rnacentral:ncRNA from 2 species